rnacentral:sRNA from 1 species
UGCUAUAGGAGCCACCCGUGUGCGGGAUA